CAUGAAACCAAGGCUUUUACAGUUACAGAAGUCAACAAAUGAGAGCACCUGGGGAGUGGGAGUGGAGCUAGGCACUGCAGGACCUGGAUUAACCUGGACACACAGACAUAAAAUGGUAUCCACGAGUUCAUCUGACUGCGGAAAUAGAUAAAUGGCCUCAUUGCCAAGUAUCCAUUUAAGCACUUGGAGUAAUGAGUAGGAUUCUGUGUUUUCAGAUGCAACAGAGAUUGCUUUUGAUAAAAACGCUUUAUCUGCCUCCCCAAUGAAAACUAGUUUGAAAAUUCAAACAUAUUUUAUGGAAAAUAUAUGUUUCUAAAUUAUGCACUACACUGCCUCGUUAACAUGUGCGAGCGGCGCAUAUUAGGGUUCGAUUUGAGAAAGGCGCUCCUCUCUGACCGCUUUUGCUCGUUCACGGUGCACCGCGGCUCAUGUUAAUAGAACUCCCUCAAUCUGCCGUCUAGCUCCGCCUUUUCCCUACUGAUCUUCCAAUCAUAACUAGCUAGGUCACUCCGAACACAAUUGUUUUUACGUCUAUGCUUUUCUUCUUUAUCUUUGCAAGCCAGUCAGCAAACAGACGUAGACGCCUGGACACACUUCACUAACUUGCCGAGAAUCAGAAUGAGUCUGAAUUUGGGAUCGGCUGAUGGUGUUCUCACGCUGGUGUCCAUUGGAUGGAACACUGAUGGAAACUUCAGCACUGUGUGCCCGAAUGGGUCGAGAUGGGUUUGGGAAGGGCUGCGGGAAUGUGCCCAGGACGCCAGGGACAUGGCCAGUGUAAUCCUGGGUCUGCUGUCAAUAAUGUGCUUCAUGGUCUCUUCUCUGCCACAGUACUACAACUCUUGUAAGAGUGGGAAUAUGGACAGUGCCUUGUCCAUUUGGUUUCUGCUGCUGUGGCUGGGGGGUGACUCCUGCAAUCUUGUAGGUUCAUUCUUAGCUGACCAACUGCCGCUACAGAUGUACACAGCAGUGUAUUUUGUCCUGGCUGACUUAUUGAUGCUGGGAAUGUACUUUUACUAUGUGGCUAAGAACAGGAUGAAUAACAGCAGGUCGGUCUUAAAUGUGGUGGGUGUGGUCUAUGUCCUGGGCUUCUCUGCCGGCCUUGUGGCCUUACCUGCGUCCCAACAGGAUGUGGUCCCCUCUGGGUUUAAAGGGCGGGCCUUGCUGUCAACCACUGGACAGUAUUAAGGUGAAGUGGCUUUCAGCACCAAGGAGAUCAUUGGGUAUAUCAUUGGCUCCAUAUCCUCAGUGCUCUACCUCUGCUCCAGACUGCCACAGAUGCACAUUAAUUAUACGAGAAAGUCGACGGAGGGUGUGUCCUACUUCCUGUUUGCCCUGGUCAUCCUGGGUAACACCAUGUACGGCCUGAGUGUGCUGCUGAAGAACCCUGAGCAGGGCCAGGGAGAGGGAAGCUACAUCAUCCACCUCCUGCCCUGGCUCGUAGGCAGCCUGGGCACCCUCUCUCUAGACCUGCUGAUCUCCAUACAGUUCUUGAUAUACCGCAAUAACGCCCCUCUAGAGUUGGAAUCGCAGCACGGUGAGAGAGCUGCUCUGCUGGACAAAUGAAACUACUCCCUGGGUGCUGGAUCUAGCAGUACAGACACUUAUCCCCACCAAAUGGACUCUCAAUUCACAUUCCUAAACAGUUUUGGCAAACACAGGAAAUCUCUUUCUUUAGAUUUUAUAGUUGUAUUUGUUAUUUAUACGAUCUGUGUUUUUGUAAUUUUUAAUGUUUCGAGAGACUCCACAUUGUUCAUUGGGAUGCAGCUGUAGUUUACUGUUCUUAAUGGCUCUUAAUCUUUUAGUGACAGACCGUUCCCCCGUUACUCAAUAAGUACUUGUAGUUUGCUUCAAACCUGUUCUGACAAUCAUGACGCUACUUGUCACUGCAUGGAACCCUCUUGUGGUUGUAUUGGAAUAGUCUUGUUGUAUUUCAGAAGUGAUUUAACUAGAAAUAUUUUGAGUACACAAAGACAUGGAAAUCCUAGUGUCUUAAUAUGUUCAUGUGGAUUUAUUGUAACUAAAGUGUUAAUGUUUGAAGUACUGUACUUUUUAAUUCUAUUUGAUCAUUUACGUCAAUUGCCUUAAAGGUGUAUUCCAGUGAUUUUAUAUAUAUUUUUUUAGUGAUAGCAUAAGUAUUUGUACUUGGGAUAAGUAAUGAGUUACUUAGACUACCUAUUGAGAUGUGCGUAUUGUUAAGAUUACCGGGUGCUAAAUGAGGUAAAAAGGAGACUGGAUUACAUUUUCCAUGUCUUGUAUUUAAAAAAAAACAACAUUUUUGGUAUGUUUUCAGAUCUGGAGACUUGACCUGUUUGUUCAGUGUAAGCAUAUCAUGAUGCCCACUAAAGAGUUUUGGUGAUUGAAUGGUCCUGUUUUUCUUUUUUUUUCCUUUUCUUGGCCUGUUCCCUAAACACAUGGUGGUGCAUCACUGUCUACUGAUAUGCAUAGCAAGGAUUUGGGUGAUUUAAGAUUUUAUCACAUUGAUAGUGUCUCAUUCCCUACAUACUGCUACAUUUUAGACCAUUAUAAAAAAAAAAAAAGGUCCUAAAGAAAUGA